AUUAGUGGAAAGUACCGUACACAAAACUUGAGUACAACGUCAAUUACCAUAUCAAGAAAGUUCAAUAAUACAAAUUCAUCAUCAUAACAAGAAGUCCAAUAAAUACAGUAAAAGAAAGAAAUCAAAGUAAAACUACCAAGGAGUUUAGUUGGAUGGAAUAAUAGAAAUCAAAGUCAAUUCCAUUCUCAUUCCUUACAAAACGAGAAUGAUUAUUCUUACAUCAUUCCAUUACCAUCUUCAUUCUAUUCUUUACAAAAUUCAUUAUAUCCAACCAAAAACAACCUAAGUUUCUAAUUCACUUUUGACCUAUAUGAGCAGAAUAGUUAUAUGCGCGUGCGUAUGCACACAAAUAGAGAGAGAGAGACUUAUAACAAAGUUAGAUAGAUACAAAUUUAAUUAAGAAAGACAGUCUCAUCAAUGUCGCUUUGAGUGUCCGGUGAAGGAAAAAAAUCAAAGAGAGAAGUGGGUGUGGGUGUGGAUUGUGGGGAAGAAGGAGAAAGCAUAUAGGAGAGAGAUUGGGAGAGGAAUAGAAAAUGAACGUAAAAAGGAGAGAGAAACGACUAUUGUAAGUUUAUAUGGUAUCACAAAUUCUUAAUAUUAUACUAAUAGUAAUUGUGGGAUACGUACGAAAUUAUAUAAUUUGUUUAAAUAAUUGUGUAAUUGUUUGAUAAGUAAUUUAAUAGUACAAUUUAAUUUAAAGUAACUAAUUUUUUUAAGACGUAAAAGGACAUUUAAAAAUAAACGAAUAACUGCCCAUCCAACCAAGCUCAAUUUCAUUUUUCAACACUUAAUAAUUUCUCUUUCUCACACAUCAUUAUUUAUAAAAUUUGAUCAAUAAAUAUGUGACUCUGGGUGCCCAUAGACUACUACUUACUAUAACUGAUUUUUGUAUAAUAUAUCUUUCUCGGCAGUUAGUUUGACACGACUUUUACAAACGAAAGUAGUUUUCUUUUUGAGUUUGAUAUUAACAUACGAACCGAAACACACGGAUUGAGGAUAAAAUGGUAUUUUUGAAAUCGUAAAAUUAACUGAAUCAAAUCACAUGUUAUGGUUCAAUCAGCUUCUGUUACAAAGUUCCAAUAGAUUGGUUUAUUUCUAAAUUUUCUCAAACGGUUAAGAAUAGUUUUGUUUUUAAUUUUUAUUAAAAUUGCACAAAUUCAAAACGUGAACAUCCCUAUUCUCUUAGGGAUGAUAAACAAACCAAAUUGAUAUAGCUUGGCUCGUAUUAAACUCAUUAAAAGGUUGUUUGAGACUGAUUUAUUACAUAAACAAACCAAAUUUGAAUUAUUUUUUAAAGUUUAAACUUUAAAGCCAAAACGAACAAUCCACUGGCUAAGUUGUAAGCUUCUAAACUUGAACAAUCUAUUGGGUCGGCAUGGCUUGAGCUAGUUGAGGUCGUUUGGGGGGGGGGGGGGGUUGCUAAACAAGCCAAACUUAACUAUUUUAAAAUUAAUAAAUAUAAAUUAAGCUUGAAUAAUUUUACUCAUUGUGUGACUUGUAUCGGUGACGCACCUCCCCAAUUAGGGAUACCAAAAGCGGCCAACAAUUAUUUAGCACUAGGCAUAGUGACGAAUCACAAAAGUCAAGUGGUCUCUUAAUCUCUACCGUUGAUUCUUAGUGUGUGGCCGAUAGAUUUGGCCACCCCACGUGGCUUUUCUCCUUUUCUUUUUCAACUUACACAUUAUUUUUAUUAAAAUAAAAUAAUAUUUUUAUAUUUGAUUACGGAAACUAAAUUUCCUUUGUAUUUUGUGGAAAAUCAUAUUACAAGCUAUUAAAUAAAAGUCUUUUUUUAAUUUUGUAUAAUAAAGAUAACACAGCCUUUAAGAGAAACUCUCUACCUAACCAAUUGAGUGCGAUGGGUAAUAAGCUAACUCUGUCUAAUUCGGAAUAAAUCAUUUUCUUAGUGACUUAUUUUUUUUAAUAGUUUGGUCAUUUUUGUUUGUUUUGGAUUCUUCUGACCAGACGAAUCUGAAUAUGUACAAAUUUGUUCAGAUUUAGAAAAAAAUUUAUAAAAAUAAAAAAUUUAGCUUAUUUAUUGAGUAAAAAUAUUUUUUUUGCUAAAUCUGAUUAAAUUCUUUUAUUUUCAAUUUUUUUUAUCAAAAAAAAGUAAAAAAUUAUAAAAUCUUGAUCAACGAUAUAAACAAAAAUCACUAAAAAAUAAAAAACGACUCAAAAAUUAAAGACAGAUAAAUAAUGGAUUUCGGGCUGACCAGGUUCACUGUCCGAGUUCCCGAUUCAACCGGUUGACGGCCGGUUCGGUUUUUAUAACAGGGCUAUCCACCUAAGAAUAUUAAUUGCGUAAUAAAAUAAAUUGUCUUAAUAAUUUAUUUUAAUGUUAGUAAAACUUCACCAAACCCUUCAUAAACAAACUCAUAAAUAAUAUUAUUUGAUGGUUGAAGUAGAGCAGAAAUUGGGCCGGGUUGGGUUUACCAGACCCGCUACAGAAAUAACGGGUCCAAACGGCAACGGGUCGGGCUAGCCCAACUCGCUACAGUACCAGUUCGGGUUUAACCCAGCCCGUUAUCCGAAACUCUAACCCAGCCCGACCCAUUAGCCCGGACGCUAAGUGUGAAGGUGUAGAAACCAAUAAUCUUUUGUAGAUCCAAGAGGAAUCAAUGUAAUGUGCAGUUAGAACAUAAAAAAGGAAGUUGAUUUCUAGCUUUCCACAUAUCAGAAGUGCAAGAUAUUGUGAUAAAAAAAUAACAAUGAUAAAAAAAUACUUGAUAGCUAAGAUACUCAAAUCCGAGCGCUUGGAAAUAUCGGGAUAACACUUCUGCACACUUUUUUCAACACUUGAGAAAAUGCCGAGCAGUCGAAAAACUAGAGCGUAUUGAGAGAGUUGUGGAGAAGUAGUAGAUUAGUAAGAAUUGAGGAGGAAGAAGUAUGGAGGAUUAGAGGUAUUAUAAAAAUUUUUGUAGGCUUAUUGACCAAAAUAUCAAAAAACUAGCCGUUUAUAGUUGUUAGAAUGGGUAAAAAUGAGAAUUUAUAUAUCAAUUACUAUUGUACCCUAAAACGUAGCCGUUAUAUAGCUGUUGGGAGGGAUAGAAAAGUCAAACAAAUUAAAAAGUAUCAAAAUUAGCGUUGGGCAUGACAAUGAGCAGAUAAUGACACGUGUUAUAUGUGUUUAUAUAUUCGGAUAUUCUAUAUUUAUUAACGAAUGAGUUGACUGUGUAGUGGGGCCUAAGUUCCUUGAGUUUUGGUUAACACACAGGUCUUGAGUUUGAAAACCCAACGCCUUCCUAAUCUAGUUUUUUUUGAUUUUUUAACUAAUGAAAAAGUGUUUAUAUAAUAAAGUACUCUAAACACAAUUAAAUGGGUUGAUAGUCCAGGGCUGGGUGUUUGGGGACUUGAAGUGGGUGGUGCAGGUUCAAAACUCGGUAAGCACAAAAAUUUGAAAUUUUUGUACAGGACGGGUUCGGGCCUGGGCCGGGUUCACGGGAUGGCUGGAUUGGGCAGGUAUAACAGGCCGGUUCGGGUUUCCUAAGGGUUUAAAUGGGCCGAAUUUAUUAGCGGGGCCGGCUUAAAAAAAAUUUCGAGUUAGUUUAAGGAUUUCUGAGACCGAUGGGUGACGACCCGGUACUGUAGAGGACGGGUUAAACCCGACCCAUUAAAAUAUUCGUCCAGCCGGAAAUCCAUUACUAAAAUCUACUACUUCUCCACAACUCUCUCAAUCGCUUCAAUACGCUCUAGUUUUCGACUGCUCGGCAUUUCCAAGUGUUGAAAAAAGUGUUUGCAGGAAGUGUUGAAAUCCAGAUAUGUCAAGCGCUUCGGAUUGAGUAUCUUAGCAUCAUAUAUUUUUUUGAUCAUUGUUAUUUUUUCAUCACAAUAUCUUGCACUUCUGAUAUGGGAAAAGCUAGAAAGCAAGCUCAUUUUUAUGUUCUAACUGCACAUUAAUUAUUGAUCCUCUGGGAAUCUACAAACAAAGGGAAUUAUGGUUUCUUACACCUUCUACUGUAGCAGUCCGGGCUAAGGGUGGGCUGGGUAGAGUUUUAGAUUAACGGGCUGGAUUAAAUCCGAACUGGUAACUGUUAGCGGGUUGGUGGAUUAGCCCCGACCCGUGGCGUUUGGACCCGUUCUGUAGGGGUCGGGUAAACCCACACCGGCCCCAAUUUGCUGCUUCUACUUUCAACCAUACCAAAUAAAGGGAUUAUGAGUUUGUUAUGAAGGGUUGGUGAAUUUACUAAAAUAAAAUUAAAUUAAUUAAGAAUUUAUUUUAUUACAGCAAUUAAUAUAUAAUUAGGUGAGAGCCUAGUUAUAAAAACCGAACCGGCCGGUUCAACCGGUUGAACCGGAACGGAAAGUGAAACGGGUCAGAAGUAAGUAAUUGAGAUGUUUUAUGAUACGGAACAUAUGUAAUACAAAGGUAUAGUGUCAAAAUUACUUGAUUUUUAUAUACAAAGCAACUCACUCUCCUUGCAUUGCGUUUGAUUAGUCCUAGUUUUUAUUAAAUAGACCAGCAGGGCAUGCAACAAUUAAAUGGGUCGACACCAUUUAUAAAAUUAGGUGAGAGCCCAACAUUUUUAAGGAAAAAAAAAAGGAGCAAACGCAACCACUUCCUAUUGGCCUCUGAUUUCAACAUUGUUGAUUGCAACCACUUUUAAGCUCUGUUUGGUAAUACUUAAAAGCUAAAUUUUUUUUAAGUUUAUUACUAAAAAAGUCUAAGAUUUUUUUGACUUUUUUGCUCUUCUGACUUUACUUUAGGUACAAAUAAACCAAAAAAAAAUACUAACUUUAGUUGGCUUUUUUGCUUAUAAGUUUAAAAAAAACCACUGGUACCAAACGGAGCCUUAGAAGGGCGUGAUUUUCACACACUAUUUUUUUAAAAAACAUAUUAGGUAAAUUACAAUGAUUUGUCCUGAUAUUUUUCUUUUAAUACAAAUACUUCCCUCAUAUUUUAAAAAUUACACUUACCUCCCCUGUUAGUGUUCGUCUUAUAAUUGAGGUAAGAAAAAAAAUUUAAUUUACAUAAAUACCAUCAACUAGGUUGAUAAAUCAUGUCUCUCUUCACCACCACCUCUCCACCCUAGCUGUCUAUACGUGUGUAUAUUAUAUAACAAGCCAAACACCGCCGGAUUGCCGUGCCUUGUGAUAUCUUUUGUCCAUUCUGUAAUUUGUCUACCAUGGAAUCGAACUUUUACGGCGGCCAACAUUUGACUUGUUCACAGCCAACUAAAAGAGCACCUUUUUUUUCCUCUCAAUAUUAUCCCUCUAUUUCAUACGAUUAGAUGCAUAAAUACUUUAUUUAGAAAGGAUAAUAGUGCAAGAUCUUAAUAUAGUUGUGUGGUACUUGAAUUUUAAAAUGGACAGACUUUGAGACUUCCAAAACAGUGAAACAAGAAAACAUGGGAUGAGGCACAUGCCCCAAUGUUCCUCUCCUUCCAUGGCGACGCGAGCUACCUGAUUUAACACUCAAACCAAUAUGUGGGGUCGGGUGGUUUGGGCCGGUCGGGUGUCCGAAACAACACCUUUUGCAUAACAGAAAACAUGUAUGAAAUGGUAGUUCUUUUUUUAUUGAGUUGUGCACCAUAGAAUGGGCUUGUUUGUUGUCCGUAUCUACUGGUUUUCACUGCCGACAAUUUUAUUUUUUGUCCGUUACGAUGCAAGCACCCAAGUUAGCUUCCUCCUCAAAUGAUAUGCAACGACAAGUUUCUAGUCCAUAGCAACAGUUUUUUCCUCUAGAAUUUUCUCUUUGUAGCCUAUAAAUUCAAAAAAGAAAAUCUAAUCUACACUAUACACACUCACACAGGCCUCAAAUACACUAACACAGCCACCCACCACUUCCCCCGCAGGUUCUAAUUUUUAAACACAGCGAGUUGAAAGCAGGCGCUGCUCCCAUCAUCCGCAGGAGGGUCCUCUACGUCUACGGUGGUCUCUCUCCUCUCUCUGAAUCUCUCUCUCCUCACAUUGGCUCAGUUAUCCUGGCCCAAAUCAACUGAAUUGGAUGUGACCAAAAACCGACCGAUUGAUAUCAAGUUCGGUCAGGUUCGGUCCACCAAAACGAUCGAACCAAACCGAUCGACCCUUAAGCAUUUUUGGAACGAACCGACUGAGCUAACCAAAUAACAACCCCUCCUCACAGUUCAUACGGUAUGACAGUCUUAUGGGCAUAUUCCCAUUUUCAUGUAGUUAUGAUGUGGUUUGUGUGAUUCCACCAUCUGGUGAGUCCAGCCUUACUUGAUGAUUGCAGUCCAGUAGCCAAGCUCAAGCCCGAUUGGAGUUCAUAUGGAGGUCCAUGUGAGGCUUUACACUCUCGAGUUAUCUAAAACUUUUGGAGAGUCUUUUAUCUUUUUAUUUUCCUAGAUAGAUAAGGAUAAUGAUUAGGUAUUUCGGUAGAGUCCACCCCCUCCUUGCCUUGGUCUCUAAAGGGAUUGUAGGGUGCUUAGAUUUUCCUACGUGCGUUGUGUUGUGACUGAGAGUCAGAUUGCUGUGAGGUGAGAUUGAGAGGCACACAGAGGGUGUGAAUUGAGAGAUCGCGUCUCCUUCGCUUGUAAUCCAUCCCGUUUGAUAAAAGUGGGAAUUGUUGAUUUCUUCUCCGUGACGUCGUGCCUCGUUGGCCAACCACGUAAAUCUUUCUUGUCUUUUGUGUUGUGUGUGAUCAAUACGUAGUUUUGAGCACAACAAUUGGUAUCAGAGCCUAGGUGGAGGCUAUUCGAGCCCAUGUCAAAAUUCGGUGUCCGGAAAAGUGCUCAAAAUUAAUUUUUGCUUGCCCAGGUUGUUCUCUCGUCGAUAACGGACCUCCAGCACACACCGCGUCGAAACGAGUCCGGACAACGCUCACGAGCCGUUUGAAUAUCUUCGAGUGAGAUUAGUCUCUCAGCCACGCGCCACGUCACCGCCGCAAGGUCACGGCCCUUAAACCCGUUGAGCUUUGACCUAUCGUUACCUUGACCGGAGAAAUUAACACUUUUUAGUCCCUGAGAUUUUUGGGAUACAGUUUGUGUCCUUAGAAAUUUCUGUUAAUUACAUAUGGUGUCCCUAGAGUUACUAUAAUACUUUUAGGUCCCUAAAUUCGGUUUUUUCAAUUUGGUCCAAGGAGCUGUUCUGAUUUUUUGUCAUUGGCCCAUUACCUUUCUGAUUGUGGACAGUUUAGCCAUUCCUGAAGUUUCUCGGCUUCCGGAUUCAUCCGCGGGGUUGAUUUUCGAGAUGUUUCGUCUAUUUGGAGAAAGUAAGAUAGCAUAGUAUAAUUUGAUUGAUUAUCGUACUUUUCGAAUCACUUCAGACGCCGGAAAUUAUAUGCCUAUAAAAACCUCAGAUGGAGACACCUAUUUUGGCAAGGAUUUUCAACAACCCUGCUUUGAGAAUAAACGGAGAAAAACCUUUAAUCGAAGAGUAUGAGGAAUGGAGAAAGAUGAACGGAAGACUUUGGUCUAAUCAGAUAGUGUAUUUGGACACGAGAUGUUUCCAUCAUGUAGCACACAGACGAGUGCUUAUGAGUUGUGAUCAGUUGGCUGAGAUGUAUCAUGCGAAGACAUCUCGGAAUAAACCCUUAUUAUUAAUGAGAGGCUUGUGAUUUGAAGCUUAGAGGGAGACUACAUUGGCGGAACAUACGAGUUGGUUCCAAAAUUUGGUCAAUCAGUUACCAGUGGACCUACAGUUUUACGCGGAGGUGCAUGCCUAUGGCGGUUCUGAGUUCCUUGCCAAGAUUGUGAGACAUGGUGUUCUCCUCAGCAUUCAGCGCCGAACUGGGAAGUUGACUACGAGUAUAGUCAUGGAUGCCCUGUUCCUGAAGAGGCUCGGAGGAAGAGAUGGUUUCGACAGAUCAAGAGUGAGUUUCAGGCCCUAAUCUCAGAGGUGAGCAGGGAAAGAGGCGAGUCAAGAAAUAGGUCAUCAUAGGGGUACUGACAAAGGACGGUGGAGGUCACAUGCGAGAGGGUCGCAUUGUUAGGGUUCUUUUAUUGCGACCAGGAGGGGCAUAUCAAAUCAAAGGGGAUUGCCAACGUACAAGCAAGAGCAUCUUCAGAUACGGCAGCGCCAGCAGUGUGGCUGUGGAUGGAGUGAUGUACUCCGAAGCCGCAUCGGAAAUGGAAUCCGAUUGGGUAUGGAUUCCGGCAGUGUCUCACCCACUUUGUUAAUAAGAAGGUGUUUCUCUACAUAUGCCACCAUGCUAGGGACGUAUUGGAUAGCGAACAAUACAUCUAUCAUAAGAGUUGUUUGGCAAAAGGAUCAGUCCGGUUCCGCAUGGCAUACUGGAAGGUCGGUGAUGUUGACUGCGGUAAGGCAGUUUCCUAAUCUACGGAAAAAUUUUGAUUUCUAUUGAGAUGCUAGAUUCAAAGGGAUGCAGCUUUGAUGCUAUGUAUGGAACUCUCAGAGUUCCAGGAAACAGGAGAUGAUGUUGGGAGAGACUGGGAGGUCUUACCCGAUUUGAGGGAAGUGUCCAGGCAGCGGGGCUAACUGUCCGACUGGUCCAGUGGUAUUAGGUAUGAAAUGGACAAGUGAAAACAACCGUUGCCGCAGAGGUACACAAAGCAAGCUCAGUGGUACCUGAGUAUCCGUAGUGGUACAAGAGCGGCAUAGAGAUGGCUUUGGGGAUAUGUACGAGAAGUCUGCCACACGAGUGGUUUGCAACCAGUGCAAGGAUGUUGCAUAGAGAAGCUCGAGGAAGGAGACCAAGUCGAAUUUUGAGAAGCUUAUCAGUUAAGGGCGCGGUGAACGCCGAAUCAGUCUCUGUUUGCUCUCUCUUUGAUCAUUGCAGUGAUCUCUCCAUUUGUGUGCACAAGGAAAGAGAUGGGCCCGACAAUCCGUAAAGUGACGUACUUUGUCGGCGCACUCGGUGGGGGUGGUUGGCACCCAGUGGUGUGCAGGGCACCUCGGGUGAGAAGGGCAGGCGCUUCGUGGGAAGUGGAGUAAGCCCCUUGAUGAGGCUAGGUAUCUCGGAUGUUGUCUUGAUCUUAUGGGGAGCUGGAUCAGAAGCUGUCAGGAAAGACACAUUGAAAGACGUCAAUUUACCCUCUAGUGGGCUGGGUGGUAGAUUGUUGAGUCCAGCCGCAUCUGGAUGAGUCCAAGCCGACUUGGAUGAGUCCCAUCCCAGUAUCCACGCCCAAGGCCCGAUUGGAGUUCAUAUUAGUGGUCGCUAGUGCCGGUGACUCUCGAGUUAUUGCUAGAACUCUGAGAGUCUUAUCUUUUUAUUUUCCUAAUAGAUUAAGGAUAAUGAUGAUGGUAUUCGGUAGGGAGUCACCACCUCUUCCCUUGGUAUAUAAAAGGGAUGAGUAUGCUUUUUUAGAUUUUUCUACUUGCGUUGUGUUUGUGUGCUGAGAUCAUAUUGCUGUGAGGUGGAGCUGGGCAAGAUCGGAGGGUGUGAGUUGAGAAGAUCAGUCUCCUCCGUUGUAACCAUUCGUUUUGAUAGUGGAUUGUUGAUUUCUCUCCGGGGACGUAGGCAUCGUUGGCCUAACCACGUAAUCUUUAUUAUUUUUUUUGGUGUGUGUGAUACAUACUUAGUUUUGAGCACAACAGUUUGUGCUUGUCUUUCCAUUCGACAUCCAAGGACAUGACUCUUGAUAUUUGGAUUAGUCUUUCAGACUUAAGUUUACACUUUUUCAAAGCUAACAUAUGAGGGAAGAUGACUGGCUCAAGAAGGGAAAGUAUUUACGACAAGAAUUGGUGAGGCAAACAUUAGCAAUGGUUCAUUCUCUGCUUAUUAGUAUUUUCUCCUUCCGGUCCCAAGGGCACAAGUUCCCCCCUAAUCCCGAAGAAAGGGUCAUUUUGUCAUUAUUGCAAUUAGGUGUCUAUACGCUUGGUCAGUAUGAAUGAUACGGGGUGACUAGGUUCCUGUAACUGUUCUCUUGCUCCACAUCCACCGUACCCACUUCUACGGAGUCAAUUGUAAUUAUCUUCUUUAAAGGCAUGUUAGGUUGAUGUUGGGAGCAACUAAAUGACCGAUUACGACGACGACACCUGAUGAGUUUCUAUGCAAAACUUUUGUAAUCGUCAUAACCCAUCGAAGUCUAUGACACCCAAGAUCCAGUGGUUGUUAUGUACUUGAAGGAAUUGCAAAGGCUUUUUUUGUGUUGGAUACAAAAUUUGAAAUCAAAAAAAAAAUAACUUCUCUUUCCACUUUUUAAUGUUUUUAGUGAUUUUUUCACGAUUAAUCAAAAAAACACUAUUCGUUCUCUUGAUAAACAGAUUCCUAAAAAUUAUAAAAAAACUCUCUAUUUUAAGAGAAAUGCCUAAAAGAAAAAAAAUAUUUUUAGAUUUUUGACUUUUAAUCGUAAAAAUAAUUAAAAUAAUAUAAAAUUUGAUCGAAUAAUAAAAAAAUUAUUAAAUCCCAAAAAAUCGAAAAUGAGAGUGAAAGAAAUGUGUUUUAAUUUUAUUUUUUUUUGUAGGUCUCACUAAAAACAAUGAUCAUAUGGAUAAAAUAUAUGUCAAACUUUCAAGUUUUUUUAGCCAUUGAAUAAUAAUUUAUGUGAGAUCCACAUCUUUGAAAAGAAUAAAGUGAUAGUUUUUGGAUAGAAAAAAACUAGUUUUUAGAUAAAAUCUCUGCCUUUAGAUUAAACUCAAUAAAUUUAACCGUAGAUAUUUAAAAUAACUUUUGAAUUCAAAUGAGUUGUUCUUUUUAUAGAUGGUAGCUUUUUUUUUGAUCGUAUACCUCUAUCUGUUUUUUCCCCUUUGUGGUGUGCCUACUAUUUUACAAACAUAAAAGUUGAGGAAAUUAAUUUUUGAUAAACUAAAUUUACAUAUUUCUUAUUAACAUUUUUUAAUGGUUUCGAUUUUCAAAUAAGUAAACUAUUCUGAGAACCUACUAAGAUUUGUAGUGUUUCUGUAAAAGUACUUACUUUAAAAGUUGAUUUAUCAAAAGUGAAUGUCAAAAAAUAUUAAAAAUGAGCUUAUAAAUUUAAAUUAAUCCCAAGUUAUUUUCACUCAUAAGCAAAAAAUAAAAACUGUAAUUAACACCAUGGCAUAAAUUUUUAGAUAAAAAAAAGUAAAAAACUAUAACAUAAACUACAAAUAUAGAGCAUUCUAAGAAUAACCAAUGCUCAAGUUAUAACUCAUGUUUAAAAAUUAUUUGCUGAACUCCCGCUCCCGCCCUUUUUUAAACUAUUUUUUAAAAAAUAUUGGGUAAUUACAUUAUCUCCCCUAAGGGUUUCUUUAAUACAGAUACUCUCGAUCUGGUUUAGAAUUACACCUAGCUUCCCUUCAUGUGUUCUUUUUAUAACUGACAAUGUUUGGAGCCAAAAGUAGAGGAGAAGGAAGAUUUGUAUAAUUUGGAUGCUACAUCAUAAAUUGGUGUUAAAUUUGUGUUUGUUUAGUUACCGGUAACCACGGCAGAAAAGUGUAUUAUCACUUGUAAUCUUUUGGGAGUUAUUGUUAAUUUAUUAGGAGAAGCCAUUGUAAUUUUGCCACAAAAAUAUUUAUAUACUAUAUCUGUAAUCAAAAUUAUAAAACAAUAUUUGUAUAUGUGAGAACUAUAUUACAGAGUUGUUUAAAUAAAUAUCAUUUUUAUAAUGUGUAUGAUAAAAAAAAACAUAUUGACCCAUUGGUAUGCUUAAAAUCAAAUUUUUUUAAACUGCCUAUUAACAAAUUAUUUUUUUAACUUCUUUAUUUAUAAUAUUAAAAAAACUCAGCCGAUCAGCUGUUCGCCAAACGAGUCAUUGUAAUGCAAAGAUAAAGCGUCAAAUUACUACUUUAAUUUUAUAUACAUAAAACUCAUUUUUUUCCUUAAAUUACGAUUUGAUUAUGCCUCGGAUUUGAUUAAAUAGUCACUUUUUACUAGUUCAGGAUCAGCCUAUUAUUAAAUAGUCAGCUUUUAUUACUUAAAAAAACGAUGGGGUUGGUUCGGCUUGAUUAUAAUUUUAUGAGGGGAAGGAGUAUAAAAAUAUUGUCUAGGGCCGAACUCAGUUCUGACAUUUAUUAAAAAUUAAAAAAUAAUAUAAAUAAUAAAUAAAUCAAUCAAAUUAAUAAAAUAAACAAAUUAAAAAAAAACUGGCAAAUAAAUAAAAAAAAAGCGUAGGGGUGUUCAACUGAGUUUUGUAAUUUCAUGGCGGGGAUGGUAUAAAAGUAAUUGUUUAGUAGGAACAAGGGGUCACGGGCGGUGUCGGGGAAAAACAAAUUUUUGCUUUUCUCUUGGAUCACCCCACACAGCACCGCCCACCCCCAACCCCUUCAGCCAUUACCAUUACGCCCCCACUUAUUUUACCCUCCCCACCGGGCCACCUCUUUUUUACCUCUUUUUUCCAGUUUUGUAUUUUUUUUAGUUUUUGCUUCUUUUCUUUUCAAUAUUUUUUUCUAUUUCUUUUGGAUCAACACUUAUUAUUAGUAUAUGUUUUAAUUUUGAGUUUAUUUUUAGUUAUAGAUUGGGAGUCAUUAUUUGUAAAAAUUUUAAAAAAUAUAAAAAUAUAAAUCAAAAUAAAAAGCAUAUAUUUGAAAAUAAAAACAUACUAACAAUUAAUAAGAAAAUACACUCAUAACUUGCUAACAACAUUCAAAUGAAAAGUGUUUUAGGCCAAUAUUAAUUUAGCCCAUGGUUUUAAAAAUCAGACUGGACCCGCCGGUUCGACCGGUCUAACCGUCGACCGAUCGGAGAAACUAUCCGGUCACCCGUCAAAAACGUGGUUGAACCGAUAACUCGUCGAUUGAACCGGUCAAUAGACCGUCCGGUUCACUGUUUUAAAAAAAUAUAUAUAUUUUAAUUUUAAAAUUUUAGGUUUUAAGUAUAAAAAAUAGUGUAGACAAAAAAAUUAAUUAAAAAAAUAAACAAAAUUAAGCAAAUAAAAAUAUAAAAUUAAAUAAAAACUAAACAAAACUCAAAGAAAAAAAAAACGCAGGAGUGGUUCAGCUAGGUUGUAAUUUCAUGCGAGGGGGAGGGGUACAAAAAGUAAUUGUUUAGAGGGACAGGGGUGUCAGGGGGCGGUGUCAGGCGGGAGGAAAAUCAAUUUACUAAUUAACAAGAGUAAAUUGAUUUUUUUCAACCCCCGACUCCAUCCCAAAACCUUUCCUCAGCAAUUACUAUUAAGCCCCCACCUUAUUUUCCCCUACCUCAGCCGGCCAUCAUCCUUUUUUUCCAGUUUUGUUUGUUUUUUUAAUUUGAUUUCUUUUAUUAAUUUUUUAAAUCAAAAUUCAGUUUUUUGGAUAAAUAAUUUUUUUUGUUAUAACGUUUGUAAUCAUUGAAGUGAAUCCCAUGCUGAAAUUUUACCUGAGAUUAUUUUUUUUCCUCCCCUAAACUAUCACUUCAUCUUUUGAAAAAGAUGGUUGAGCAUCAAUAUAUUGUGAUUCAAUGUUAUUGGAUAGUAUUUUUACUAAUUGAUAGUAUAUAAAAGACUGUGUCAGGUAUAGUUGAGGAACAACGAAAUAACACAUGCUUGUCGAUCACGUGUAAAUUCAGGUGUAUAGUCACAGACCUAUAUUAGAGUCGUAGGGGUGGGUUUUCUACACUUUAAAUAUCACAUCUCAGGGCUGUCCAACUAUUUUAAAUUGAAUCAGGCAGUGGUGGUGUGCUGUUGUUCUGGUGCGGAAAAACGGGUGUCUGACGCGAAAUCUUGGAUAGAAUAUUACCCACAAUAAUAAUCAAACUAAGGGGUUUGGGGGGGGGGUAAAACAUGAAAAUAAAAAAAAAUUGAACUAUAAAAGGGGGGCCCGGCUGGGUGGAGAGAGGGAAGAGAAUACAUCGCUAAAAGGGGAUGACAAAAUGUAAGGCUGGGGCUGUAGUUAAAAGGGGAAGGCUGGGGAGCCUGACUUGUGGAAAAGGGCAUGGCCCAAAAGGUUAAAUUCGGGGUGCGCUGUAGGUUUGUUGAUAUGACUAAAAGGGUUUUGGGAAUGAUAGUGCUCCAUUAUUUGGAACAAAGAGCCUAAUUAUUCCCAACCCCUGUUAGUCACAUCAACAGACCGUUCUGACCGGAAUUUACCUUUUUCCUGCCCUUUCCACCUUUUUCGGCGCCACCUCAGCCGUCAUCCCUCCUCCCUUUUCAUUGAUGUCUCCCUUCCCCAGCUUGGCCCCGCGUUUAUGUCCCAAAAUUUUUAUUUGUUGAUUUUUUGAUUAUUUUUUAAAUAAAGUUUUUGUGGUCUAUAUAUAUUAUGAAAACACGUUUUUAAGUUCUCAGGUAUUCAUACCAACCAUCCCUCUACUAUCACUUCAAUUUCUUGGCUAAUUUUGGAUCAAAACUAUAAUCUCAUUUAAAAUUAUUUGCUGACUCCCGGCCCUUUUUGGAAGGGGGCCCCCCCCCCCCCCCCCCCCCCAUGAUUUUCACACUUUUUUUACAAAAUAUAUAUUGGGUAAUUACAUGACCUCCCCUACGGGUUUCUUUUACUCCGAUACUCUCUGCAUGGUUAGAAAUUACACUUAGCUUCCCUGUCAGUGUUCUUUUUAUACUGAGUACUAGAAUUUUGAAAAUAAAUUAUUUGUCAUUAUAGUGUGGUUGUUUUGGUAAAAAAUAUCCUGUAUUGGUGCACCAUUUGUGCGUUGGGAGUUGGUUGAUGGUGUUUGAAAUCUUGGGCCAAAAGGAAGAGGAGAGGAUGGGAGGAUUUUGUAAACUAUGUACAAGUUUUUAAAAUAACAACAUAUUUUUAUGAUAAAAAACAUAUUUAAUACAACGAUAUCGUCAAGUACUUAAUUUUUAUCUCCAAAUGAACAACACUUUCCUUAACAUUGCUUGCGUUGCUUUGCCUCCCUUUUAUUAAUAGGUCAGCUGUUAUUGAACUAGGUCAGAGCCGCUUUAUUGAAUAGGUCGGGGGCCAUUAUUACAUGGGGGGGGGGGGGGGGGGGGGGGUCAGGAUAAGCGUGUUUACUAAAUACGACGUCAGCUUUUAUUAUCAUUACACCAAUUUUUUUUUUCCAAGCAUUUUUUUUUAAAUUUUAGGUUUAAAUAAGCAAAAAAGUCAUCAAGUUGGUUUGUGUGGUUUUGAUUUGUUUGUGCUUUUAUGCUGCUUAUUUUUUAGAGAAGCUAAAGUAAGCCACAAAGAAAAAAAAAUCAAAAAUUCUUAGCCUUUUGGUAGCCUACUUAAAAAGCUUAGUUUCUAACAUUACCAACGGAGCCUCGGUUCCCGUUUGGCAACACUUUUUUUUAAUUUGGUUUUGUUAAUUUUGUUGGUUUAAAAUAAAUAAAAAAUUACAUUAAAAAUUGACUUUUUUUUUUUGCUUUUUACUUGUUUUAACUAAAUACAGUCACAAAAAUAAAAAAAUAAAAAAAUAAAACAUCUUAACUUUUUAAUACAAAUUUUAAAAAAAUACUUUUUAAAUAUUACCAAAGGAUUAAUGAGAAUUGUCUUUUUCCCUUCUGCACACAAACACCCCGGCCAACCCAAAAACCCCUCAACAAUUAUCAUCAUGCCUCCCACUUCUUUCCCCCUCCCCUCAGCCGGCCACCCUCGGAUUUUUUGUUUUCCAUUUUUGUUUCUUUUUUUUUAUAUAAUCAAUUUUAUUUAUUUUUUUAUUAAAUUAAAUUUUUUAUCAGUUUUUUUUUUAUUUUUAUUAAAUUUAUUUUUUUUAUCAUUUUUUUUGGAUAAACAAUUUUUUUUAGUCAUUAUUUAUAAAAAUUUAAAAAGUAAAAAAAACUAUUAAUCAAAAUAAAAAGUAAUAUUAUAUAAUAUCAAAUUUAAACUUACUAAGAAACAUACUAAAUUAUGAAUCAAGCAUUUUUUUUUUUUGUCUUUUUUUUUUCUGUAAUUUGUGUUCUAUAAUAUAUAAUUAAUCUUAUAUUAUAUUCUAUAAAAUGAUUCUUUUACAUUUUCAAUUCUUCAAAAGUUUUUGUAGCUUAUAGCAAAAAAAUGUUUUUGUUUUUUAGAAAUAAAUUCAAAUGCAUCAACAAAAGAUGCAAAAUAUGGACCCAAGAGAAGGAGAUCCCUUACCCAAGAACUACCACUAAUAUUGGGCCCACAUUUGCAAUCAGAAGCUAACAAUCAAAAUAUUAAUGAUGAAUUCUAACCAUUUAAAAAUCUUGAUUUUAACAUUCCAAUAUACUCUUUUACAAAUCCUAUAGAACCAAGAGUGUUUAUUCUUGAAAAAUUGGUAAAUAAUCAUUUGGCCCGAUGUGGCUAAAAUUGUAAUCCAUCGAUUUUCAAACGUUUUGAAAAUUUUUAUGCAUUGUUGAAUUAAAUUAAGCCAUUUAAUCACGAUUUAGGUUUAAAAUGAAAGAUUAAUAAUUUUUAAGAUAAAAUUAAAAAAGGACAUUUAAGUUGAGGGGUUGAAGUGUAAAUUUUAAAUAACUGGAUGAUUGUGUCCCACAAAAUCAUUUACUUUACUUUACUUUUUCCUUUUUAAAAUUCUAUAAAUAAAAGAAAGAAUAAAAGAAAGAAAAGAAAGCAGGAAGGAGAGAGAGAAAGUGCACGAGACAAAGAAGAAGAAAGAAAAGAAAGGAAUAAAAAAAGAUAGAGAGAAAUUAUAUAGAGAAAGUGCACGAGACAAAGAAGAAGAAAGAAAAGAAAGGAAUAAAAAAAGAUAGAGAGAAAUUAUAUGGUGUCCUCAAAAUAUAAUAAUAAAAGAUAAGACGUGAAAUUAAACGAUGAAAUGACACCCGAUAUAAAUAAAAUUUCAAUAUAUUGUUUACGGAUUAUUAUUCUUAAUUUUAUACUUGAUAGAUCAAGGAGAGUUUGAUCCCAUGGGAAAGAUUUAUUGUACUUUGAUAUUAUGACAGAAUGUUGUCAUUUUAUUUUCGUUGAUUCUUCUUUCUUUUGAGUGUUUGUUUACGUGGCCAGCGUUUUGAUUAACAAAACUCUGAUUAUGACAACAUAGUAUCAGAAUUCUAAGUUCGCAUACGUAUGAACCAUGGGUGGCUAUGCCAAAUCAUUUAAGUUUAAGUAUUGAGAAUUUGAGAGGUAACGUGAGUUGGUUCUAUGUAAUAGAAAUAACAUGAAUAUACAUGGUAACAACAUACUGUCAUCUCAUCAUUUGACUCUUUUUUAUCUUUCUUUUAUUUUAAAAAGAAAAAAAUAAAGUAAAGUAAAGUAAAUGAUUGUGUCCGACACAAUUAUCUAUUUAUUUAAAAAUUAAAAAUAAAUUUUUAAUCUGCUUGUCAAUUCAUCAAUAUAAUGAAAACAUAGCCUAAGUGUUUUUUAAACCUUACAAAUUAAUAGCUUUCCUUUUCGAUGCACUGCAUGAUAUGUUUCUUAUUAUCACUUUAAUUCUCAAAGUUUUUUGCAAACUAAUCGUGUGCGAACCACGACGAAACUAUUUUCUACUUUCUUCAUAUAUUAAUUAGAUAGUUGCAUGACGGUGUAAUUAUUUUAAUGGGAGUUAGAUUGUAGAAUGAAUGCACUCUCAAAAAUCAAUAAAGACAAAAGGAAAAAAUUUAUUUAUUUAAUUCAGGCCAACAACGAUAUUUAUUCACAGCUAGAAAAAAUCCCAAGCCAAAUAAACAUAAUUCACAGCUACAAAAGUAUAUAAUUUCACGAUGGAAUACGCGAAUAAAUAUAAAGCAUAUGAUUCUACGCAGUAGUUGAGAGAGAGAUCCUAUAAGCCGAGUUGGAUGGAUUAACCAUUUCAUUGACAAUCCAGCAUAACAUAAACCCCUUCCCACCUUUCGUUUCUCUCUCUAAAAAAGCCGGGCUCAGCCUGUCGUGGAGGAAGAAAAAUAGA
rnacentral:lncRNA from 1 species